GUCAAAAGGGGGGGUGCCGACAGUAAAACCCUCUCCAAGAAAAUGAAGGUUACAUAAUGUAAAUCUUACCACUUUUCUCUUAAUUUAUAUAAUUACGGCAGUCUCCCCGAAGAGAACUAAGUUUUCUAUAUUGUUUGUUUUGGUACGCUCAGCUGACUGUGUUUACAUCCCGCCCCGACCUACGUGAUGGUGUUUAAAUGGUAGACCAGCUGUUUGUUCUGCUUGUGAACCAAACAAAUUAUCCAUCAUUUCCACAGGUUUUGUCUUGUGUUCUACUGUAAAAGAAGAAUUUCAAGACACUCAGAAAAUGACUGGAAAUUAUAGUGGAGACUCCAGUCCUGUUCAUUAUGGUGAUGUGGAUUGGAUAGUAAUGGAUGGUGAGGAGUACUUUGGACGAGUAGCACAUCUAUUCACUGAAAAUCCAAAGUGCUGUGUCCCAAACCAUAGACCAGUUAUGGAAGGGAAUGCAUCAGGUUAUCCCAUACAUGGAGACACCAUUCUGGAUUCUCAUACAAGUAAGAGUUUCUCACAUAAUGUUGCCCAUCUGAAGCAUAUUACAGACUCAUUAAAGUCCUAUGAAGAUGUUAAGAUCGCCAAACCUAACAUUGAUGAAGUGCAACGAGUGAUUAGUGCAACUGAAGCCCACAUCUCUUCCCUAAAGUCUAAAUUAAAUAAAUAUAUAACAAAAGAGACUCACCAAAGCAGUGGAGGUACACCAGAGCCACUUGAUGAAGAAACAGAAGUACAGGAAGAACCAGGGUCAGAAAGUGUUUUGAGUGAUGAUGAAAUGGAAGCAGAGUCAAGAGAGAGGGAAGGAGAGCUAAGCGAUGAUAAAAGUAAACAUGAACAGGGAAGUCUGGCUCAGAGAAAAGAACAAACACCAAGGAAAAGUUUACAAGGGUCCUCAAUUGUAACAGGAAGAUCAAGUGCGCGUAAACGCCGCCGCAUUUCUGAGGUAUUGUAAACUAACAGAUCAAGAGAUACAGAGAAGCAACAUCCCUCAAGGAAGUCGAGUUGCCUUCAUGCUAAAGACUCAAGCGAAUCAUAUUCUUCUCAAAGGUGUUAAAGGAAGAAUAUGGUUGACCAUACUCAUUGAACUUUGAUAAGAAAUAAAUAUGUAUUACAAA